rnacentral:lncRNA from 1 species
UCUUGAUGUUGACACGUGCUGCGCUCUGAUUGGCUUCUAAUCUUGACACGUGUCAAGUAGUGAUUGGCCUCCUGGUCGGAGGGGAACUCUUCUGGGUCCUUGACAGUAUAGCGUUGGCCGGUGCUCGGUAGUUUCGGGAUUGGUCAAGUAUGGUACAAACAAAGCUGUCUCAUAUAAAUGUUAUAUGCUCAAACGAUAAGUCCAAGGAAUAUGUAUUUAGGAGAAUGUAAUUUAAACAAGUUAGAUUUAUGAGACCAUUCUCUUUCUUAUACAUAUCCUAAACGUUCCUGAUCAUAGGAUUGCCAAUGGGGCAUUGACAGUCCGUUAAGAUCAGUACGUGCUAUGUCUUCUCUCAUGGAGAGUGACUGGUCUCGAGUCAUUGGUGUAAUUGACACCAAGACAAGCAUGUAGGUGCUCAAUAGCGAAUGAAGUCCACUGAACACGAUCAACGAGGAGUUCUCAUACUCAUGUCACAUGAGAACUCAUGGUUGGGAUAAUGCAAAGUAGUCCUUUGACCUGAGGCAUCAUAGUUGUCUUGUGGUUAAGUCCUUGAUCUUUGACUAUGUCAAAGUCACUCCAUUCGAGGGUGUCCACGGCAUAGUUGGGGUUAAGCCACUUAGCCAUGGAGGCAAGUGAAUGCGCAACAAGGGAUCUCUAACCUUCAAACCGUUUGAGGGAGAAUACUCUAUAAUAUGAUUAAGAAUCUCUAGCCAGACUAUGAAUGAGAUUUAAGAAGUCAUUCCAAAUCACAUUCAAGGUAAUCAUAUAAGUAAAUAAAUCACAUUGGAUAGUAGACAUGAAUAAACUAUCAAACCAAACAAUGUGGUCAAGAGUAUUGUAUUAGAGAAAGACCGUAUUGCAUUGUAAUCCUAAACUGAAUAGGUUCUCCACUUCUUCUGAUUAGCUUGGGUAACCAUGACAUACUGCUAGGUGUCACUCAUGGUUUGUGGAAGCCCUAAAUGUGUAUAAUCACUAAAGGGAGAAUUGAAAGUAAGUUUCAAUUCACAAUCGAUUUGAAAGAGUUCUAAUCGCCCACUGCCUCGCUAAAAGGAACCUAAUGGAUUCGUACACCGUGUAAGGCAGAGAUUGAAGAAACAACGGAGAUGAGUAAGGAUAAUUAAAUGGUUUAAUUAUUUAUGGCAAGGAU